UCUAAUCCCUUAAUCAUUCACGUGACUCCUCUCUGAGGCCACUCCAAUUUAUCAACAUCCUUCUUGAAUUGUGGGCACCAGAACUGGACACAGUAUUUCAGCAGUGGUCACACCAAUAUCAAGUACAGAGGUGAAAGUAA